rnacentral:misc_RNA from 1 species
CCAUAAUAGAGGAAGGCAAUUUUCCUACCCUGUCAAUCCCUUCCUCAAACACCACUCCCAUGCCCAUAAAGAAAUGUGACUCAAUAUGGCAAUGAAAUAACCAGGCGCCUGGAUUAUCUGCCUUAAAUCUCAAAGCAGUCCAACCAUAAGGAUGAAGAGGCACAGUAUUCUUCAUGAUGGGAUCCACCAAAUUGAACUUGUUCUGGUCAUUAUUUAUGUCAAACUUACCCUUUCCAUAACCUAGAACCCAGAAGUCAUGCCCAUGGAGAUGCCAAGGAUGUGUCUCGCUAGUGUUAUUACUCAUGGAAUUUGCAUUUUGUAAAAUAAUAUCUACUGUUGCGUUGAAGUC